AAGAAGAAGAAGAAGAAGAAGAAGAGGAUGAUGAACUGAAACCCACAGAAUCAAACGAAGAAGGGAGGCUUUAUGUAGGCAAUUUACCCUAUUCUAUGACUUCUUCACAAUUGACCGAGGUUUUCCAGGAGGCUGGUCGUAUAGUGAAUGUCGAGAUUAUUUAUGAUCGUGUCACAGAUAGGAGCAGAGGUUUUGGCUUUGUUACAAUGGCAAGUGGUGAAGAAGCUAAAGAAGCGAUUCGGAUGUUCAAUGGAUCACAAAUUGGAGGCAGAACUGUGAGGGUGAACUUCCCAGAAGUGCCAAAGGGAGGUGAGAGGGAAGUAAUGGCACCAAGGAUUCGGAGCGCCUACAAGGGCUUUAUAGAUACUCCACACAAGAUCUAUGCAGGAAACCUUGGUUGGGGCCUCACAUCUCAAGGUCUUAGAGAUGCUUUUGCCAACCAACCAGGCUUAUUAAGUGCCAAAGUCAUCUAUGAGAGGGACACAGG
rnacentral:misc_RNA from 1 species